AGCGAACGCUGGCGGCAGGCUUAACACAUGCAAGUCGAGCGGGCCCUUCGGGGUCAGCGGCAGACGGGUGAGUAACACGUGGGAACGUACCCUUUGGUUCGGAAUAACGCUGGGAAACUAGCGCUAAUACCGGAUACGCCCUUUUGGGGAAAGGCUUGCUGCCGAAGGAUCGGCCCGCGUCUGAUUAGCUAGUUGGUGGGGUAAUGGCCUACCAAGGCGACGGUCAGUAGCUGGUCUGAGAGGAUGAUCAGCCACACUGGGACUGAGACACGGCCCAGACUCCUACGGGAGGCAGCAGUGGGGAAUAUUGGACAAUGGGCGCAAGCCUGAUCCAGCCAUGCCGCGUGAGUGAUGAAGGCCUUAGGGUUGUAAAGCUCUUUUGUCCGGGACGAUAAUGACGGUACCGGAAGAAUAAGCCCCGGCUAACUUCGUG
rnacentral:rRNA from 1 species